UACGGAGGGUGCGAGCGUUAUCCGGAUUCACUGGGUUUAAAGGGUGCGUAGGUGGGUCUGUAAGUCAGUGGUGAAAUCUCCGAGCUUAACUCGGAAACUGCCAUUGAUACUAUAGGUCUUGAAUAUCCUGGAGGUGAGCGGAAUAUGUCAUGUAGCGGUGAAAUGCUUAGAUAUGACAUAGAACACCAAUUGCGGAGGCAGCUCACUACGGGAUCAUUGACACUGAGGCACGAAAGCGUGGGGAUCAAACAGG
rnacentral:rRNA from 1 species